rnacentral:tRNA from 1 species
UCCCUGGUGGUCCAAUGGUUAGCACAUGGCACUUUUACUGCCAGAGUCCACGGUUCAAUCCCUGGAAGGGGAA